AAGUCGCACGUUGCUUUCUACCACAUCGUUUUAAACGAAGUUUUACCAUAACAUUCCUUCAGUUUGGAACCAGUAUGUAAUUGAUUCAAUUAUGGAAUCAUGAAUAAUCAUCGGUUCGGCACGAAUAAACAAGUUAUUUUUAAUCUCUAUCUUCAAGUAACAUGAUAGGAUAAAUUCAACAAUUUAACACUUCUUCGAGUACCAAGAACUCAUAAGAAAUCAUUAAAAAGAUUUAAUUGAUUGAAUAAUUUCCUACCCGAUAUCAUUAUUUGCAUUUUGCAUAAGGUUUUACAGUAAGGACCAUUCACUUUUUAUCAUCAUAAGAGAGAGAAAAAUCUAUAUUGGAUUAACCCAUCAACGAUAAAAAAAGAUAGAUAAAAAAGACUUAUGUAAGAAAAGAUUUAAGGUUUAGGUUGUUAUUUUUUCAUAGUGUAAAAUCAGUAUAACAAGUCACAAAUAGAUUAAAUUUCAUAUGCGUGUUAUUUGAACUAGAUUAAAUUUAUGAAAAAGAUAUGAUUCAUAUUUCAU
rnacentral:lncRNA from 1 species